GGAACAUCAGCGGAGGAGCCACUUCGAGAAUCAGUAAUAGCAAUCCUCCACAAGACCCAGUCGAGAUUAUUGUUCGAACCAUCGGCCCAACGCGUCCCUCACGCCUUCUCGCCCCUUCGCCGAUCAAGGUGUGCGACUUGCGGAAGCUGGUCGCGGAGAGUAGUCGAUUACCGAUUGGGAAUUUGAAGCUUAUUUUACGAGGAAAAAUUUUGGAUGACUGUAAGAAUGAAGAUGAUGUUUAUGUGCGGCUCAAUCAUGGCGAUUCAUUGACUGUUGCUGUGAAACCAAAGCCCCCAGCAGAA
rnacentral:misc_RNA from 1 species